rnacentral:tRNA from 6 species
GGCCAGGUAGCUCAGUUGGUAGAGCAGAGGACUGAAAAUCCUUGUGUCGGCGGUUCAAUUCCGUCCCUGGCCACCA